CAAUGGGGUCCUGUUGCGGUGUUGCUAUAAUUUAGUACACUCUUGUUUCUCUUCAGAUCGUAUAAAUCUUUCGCCUUUUACUAAAGAUUUCCGUGGAGAGGAACAAUAAGAGUUUCACCCAAUUUUUUGAUGCCCUGCGUUUAGCGGGGCUUGUUAACUAUGUUCAAAAGAAAUAAUGCACUGGUAGCGCAAUCGCGAACAAUGUUAGUAUUGCAACAUCUUCAAAUGUAGCCAGUAAUCUUUUCAUUUUUCAUGUACCCGUUAUUGUUGUUACAGUAUAUAACAUAGUGAGCACGCUGAACUAUAGCAGUUUAUCACAGUUAUUAUUUUCAUAUUUUACGUUGGUUUUUUUCCCAUUUAUUCACAUUAAGAUUUUAUUUUAUUUUUUAAAUGUUUCUAUUCGUUUCAUUUAGUUUGUUAGUCUUUUUCUAAUUGGAGUUCAGAACAAUGCAAAAGAGUAAAAUUAAGGACAUUUCCAAAAUAUUUUUAUUUUAUUCAACAUCAUGUUUACUUGAUGAAUGUUCAUUCAUCUAUCGCUUCCACUUAUCCUUUUUAAGGUCACGGGGGGGCGCUGAAGCAUAUCCCAGCUGUCUUUGGGCAAGAGGCAGGGUUCACCCUGGACAGGUCUCCAGUCUAUCACAGGGCUAACACAUAGACAGAGACAAACAUUCGCACUCACAUUUACUCCCGCAUUCACAUAUAUGGGCAAUUUAGUGUUUCCAAUUAACCUAACGCCACUAACUGCAUGUCUUUGGACUGUGGGAGGAAGCCAGAGUACCUGGAGAGAACCCACACAAUCACGGGGAGAACAUGCAAACUCCACACAGACCCCGGCCAGAUGGUGGAAUUGAACUCAGGACCUUCUUGCUGUGUGGCAACAGUGCUAACCAUUGGUGAAUGUAUAUUUAGUUUUGUUUUUUUUAACAGUAGUAUUUAACUUUUUUAGUUUUGUUUAGAGUAGAUUUUAAAUUUUUGUUUUUAACACCUCACACAUGAUCUGGCAUCAAAGUAUUUCCCUGACGUGCACCUAAGCUGCAAACCUGCUUGACCUCUUAGGUCAUCUAGAUCAAGCUGCCUGGUUAUAUUCCAGGUUUCCAUUAAAACUGUUGGAGAAGCUCAUACUUUUUGUGUUCAACAACCUAUUAAACCGUGUUAGAUGUGCUCCAACAAAUCAGUGCUUAAGGGUGUUUAGUUCCUGCUCUUAAGUAUUUUACAAUUGAAAAACAUAUUUUAGGUUUAAUUAAUUUUAUUGGACUACUGUUGAGCUGUUUGUUUGUUGUUUGCUCAAGAAAGAUGUUAAAUCUUUAUAUAAUUUAUAUAAAUCUCCUGUGUUGUAAUUCUGGUUACCC
ensembl:lncRNA